rnacentral:rRNA from 1 species
CACGUAGGGUGCGAGCGUUGUCCGGAAUUAUUGGGCGUAAAGAGCUCGUAGGCGGUGUGUCGCGUCGGCCGUGAAAACUUGGGGCUUAACCCUGAGCUUGCGGUCGAUACGGGCAUCACUGGAGUUCGGCAGGGGAGACUGGAAUUCCUGGUGUAGCGGUGAAAUGCGCAGAUAUCAGGAGGAACACCGGUGGCGAAGGCGGGUCUCUGGGCCGAUACUGACGCUGAGGAGCGAAAGCGUGGGGAGCGAACAGG